GUACACUGUAAUUUUGUAAGGAAAUAUUAGCAUAUUCCGGUAGAAGAAAGUGGUUUUUCUAAAAUACUAGAUAAUACUAUGUUUGACUUAUGUUGUGAUUUUAGAUUGUAGAUCUAGAAUAAUUUAAUGGCAUAGAUGAUAGAAUGAUAACGGAAGUAUAUGUAUAAUAUAGAUGUCUUUUUCUGUGCGGGGAAUCAUUCAUCCACCUGUAGUUGAUGAUUAGUUCAGUCUGUAAGUGCUUUGUUGGACUACAGUAUGAUAUUUUACUCACAUUUCAGAGGCUUUUAAUGGAUUCUGCACUUCAAAUGGAGCAUUUUAUGCUUUUCUAGGAUUUACAUAAAGUUUUAGAAUCGUUUGAUAUGAUAUUGAGAAAAAAAGGAACGAUUGGAGAGAGGUAAACCAAUGCAUCGAACGUGAAUUGUUACACUCAGCAUAUGUAGGAGUGCAUAGUUAAUGAUAAAAGUGAUUAACAAAAGCAUAUAUCACGUGAACGUUUGGUAUUGCUGCUCAUUUGGACGUCUUUCUGGUGAUACCAUAAAAACAGAUAUCUCUUGUCGCGACACGUGUAGGCACAAUAAAAGAUCUCGUGAGCACCGUGCUGGGGUCAAACGUUUUGGCACUUCAUAUAUAGCUCGUAAAGUCUGUACACGGGUGAACAAUUCUGCAAAUUAGGCUUUAGGCUUCUGCUUUUAUCGAGCCAACGCCUGCAACGACAAGGGAUCUCAUUUUUUAAGGUCUCAAAUCAGGGACCCGUGGAUCUUGCUUCUAAUUGCUGAGAGUUGGAGGAAGAAGCACUCGCUGUCUAUUGUUACAUCUAAGGUCGGACACAACCAAGGCACAUUCACUGUCUGGUGAGAAAGCGAAUGUUCCUAGUACCAAGUCACGAAGUAGGUAUCGGACCCCUGUAGUGAAAAUGCAUUAUUUUUAUAUUAAAAAAAUCGUCAUGAAUAAAUGCUGCAUGAGGCCGUUCUUUACCUAUUGAAUUUGACUAUGGAUUACUCUGUGUCCCUGAUCAAGAUAGAUAGCUCACGGCGGGUGUGACCGGUCAACAGGGGAUGCUUACUCCUCCAAGACAUCUGAUCCCAUCUUUGAUAUUUCCAAGAGUCCGUAUUUGCCCGGAUUUCAGUUUUGUAUUCUUUAUAGGAUUCUUGAGACUUACCACUGCUUGUUAUCUUUACCCUUUUCUUUACCCCUGCACAAUUUAAAACAAAUAUAUGAAUAAUUAUGAAGAGCACGGAAUACUCUAGCAAAAUUGUGAAAUGCUUGGCCCCUGCGUCAGUGGUUCAGGUUGUAUAGUGGUGUUCAAAUGGCUUGCCCUGAAAAGUCUCUGUAAAUAAGUCAUAGAAACCGUCAUAUAUACCAGCUGUAGGUGCCUGAAACAGAGACCAGAAGAUAUCUUUCAACACAUGUAGUGCGAGCUACCGAACCUUAAUGAGGAUAUAUGUUCAUUAAAUAAUUAUAUUUUUUUUCAUACUAAAUUCAUUCCACGUAUAAAAGCACGAGUGAAAAAUAAUCUAUGACCUAAGAGGAAAAAAAUAUUGGUCUAUCUUGUGUAAUGAAAUUUCUUCAUGUGAAGUUUCAAAUGUGUGAAUUCAUACGGAUAAUUAUUCAUGUUUAUAUGCAAGGAUAUAAUUUGUCUAGACAAACUUUGAAAUAAAUCCACCCCAAACCCAAGCAACAUUCCUUCGUAAUGAUUUUUAUAAAUAUUGUAUUUGCUAUAGAAUGUCGUCUUGUGUAGAUGAAUUAGAUAUGCAAGGAAGAUAGCAGUUGAACAAUCGUCAGUAACGAAUGACUCCUCUUUUUACAUAAAGGUGUAUAAAUGUAAUACGAUGCAUAACACGUGAAAAGUGCAUAAAAAUCACACUCCGUAUUGUUGUAAACAAACACUAAACUGGUUCAGCGCUUUGUUGACGUCAGUUUUGAAAUUUUCUACAAACUUUGUGUACAUCAUAUGACGCUCUGUGAGAAACUGAUAUAAAGAGAAGGCUGGUAGUACAGAAGGUCAGAACAAAGAGACAAUGACAGAGAAAACAUCUCUACUGUUUUGGCUGUUGGUGUAUAUCGUGUCUACCUUCAUACUGGGGACUGUGGAGGUGUGUCAUUACCUACUCUCCCCUAUCAUCCGCCGGCGUGAAUCUUAUGCUUCACUAGCUGAGUAUGAGGAAGUCAAUGCUACUUGAUCUUCAAGGAAACUUUUCAACACCCACGUGUUGUCUCCACCUUCCAAGUUGCCAGGGCCCUAACACUGGUCUUGAUCUUAUUCAUCGGCCUCAUUAACGAUGGUUGUGAAUACCAUUUUGUUGUACAAUGUUGUAAUGGACAUUUGUUUGAAACAAAGGGAUCGGUCAUGAACUUUGUAUGUUAUCACAUUUUGUUCAACAAAAUGCCAUUGUUAUACGUUUUGUUCUUCAAAUAAACUUCAAAGUGUCUGGUA